UGAGGACGAACGCUGGCGGCAUGCUUAACACAUGCAAGUCGAACGGAGCACCCUUGACAGAGGCUUCGGCCAAUAGAUAGGAAUGCUUAGUGGCGGACGGGUGAGUAACGCGUGAGCAACCUGCCUUUCAGAGGGGGACAACAGUUGGAAACGACUGCUAAUACCGCAUGACACAUUGGGAGGGCAUCCUCCUGAUGUCAAAGAUUUAUCGCUGAAAGAUGGGCUCGCGUCUGAUUAGCUAGUUGGUGAGGUAACGGCCCACCAAGGCGACGAUCAGUAGCCGGACUGAGAGGUUGAACGGCCACAUUGGGACUGAGAUACGGCCCAGACUCCUACGGGAGGCAGCAGUGGGGAAUAUUGGGCAAUGGGCGCAAGCCUGACCCAGCAAUGCCGCGUGAAGGAAGAAGGCUUUCGGGUUGUAAACUUCUUUUGUCAGGGAAGAGAAGAAGACGGUACCUGACGAAUAAGCCACGGCUAACUACGUGCC
rnacentral:rRNA from 1 species